UACGAAGGGGGCUAGCGUUGCUCGGAAUCACUGGGCGUAAAGCGCACGUAGGCGGAUUGUUAAGUCAGGGGUGAAAUCCCGGAGCUCAACUCCGGAACUGCCUUUGAUACUGGCGAUCUUGAGUCCGGGAGAGGUGAGUGGAACUGCGAGUGUAGAGGUGAAAAUUCGUAGAUAUUCGCAAGAACACCAGUGGCGAAGGCGGACUCACUGGCCCGGUACUGGACGCUGAGGUGCGAAACGUGGGGCAACAGG
rnacentral:rRNA from 1 species